UACGUAGGGACCAAGCGUUGUUCGGAUUUACUGGGCGUAAAGGGCGCGUAGGCGGCGCGGUAAGUCACUUGUGAAAUCUCUGAGCUUAACUCAGAACGGCCAAGUGAUACUGCAGUGCUAGAGUGUGGAAGGGGCAAUCGGAAUUCUUGGUGUAGCGGUGAAAUGCGUAGAUAUCGAGAGGAACACCUGCGGCGAAGGCGGGUUGCUGGGCCGACACUGACGCUGAAGCGCGAAAGCCAGGGGAGCGAACGGG
rnacentral:rRNA from 1 species